rnacentral:rRNA from 1 species
UUCCGGUUGAUCCUGCCGGAGGUUACUGCUAUCGAGGUUCGACUAAGCCAUGCGAGUCGAAUGUAGCAAUACAUGGCGAACUGCUCAGUAACACGUGGACAACCUGCCCUUAGGACGGGGAUAAACCCGGGAAACUGGGUAUAAUACCCGAUAGGUCUCGAUUGCUGGAAUGCAUCGAGAUUUAAAGCUCCGGCGCCUAAGGAUGGGUCUGCGGCCUAUCAGGUAGUAGUGGGUGUAGCGUACCUACUAGCCUACGACGGGUACGGGUUGUGAGAGCAAGAGCCCGGAGAUGGAUUCUGAGACACGAAUCCAGGCCCUACGGGGUGCAGCAGGCGCGAAAACUUUACAAUGCUGGCAACAGCGAUAAGGGAACCUCGAGUGCCAGGUUACAAAUCUGGCUGUCGAGAUGCCUAAAAAGCAUUUCAUAGCAAGGGCCGGGCAAGACCGGUGCCAGCCGCCGCGGUAACACCGGCGGCUCGAGUGGUAACCGUUAUUAUUGGGUCUAAAGGGUCUGUAGCCGGCCGGAUAAGUCUCUUGAGAAACCUGGCAGCUUAACUGUCAGGCUUUCAGGAGAUACUGUCUGGCUCGAGGCCGGGAGAGGUGAGAGGCACUUCAGGGGUAGGGGUGAAAUCUUGUAAUCCUUGAAGGACCACCAGUGGCGAAGGCGUCUCACCAGAACGGACCUGACGGCAAGGGACGAAAGCUAGGGGCACGAACCGGAUUAGAUACCCGGGUAGUCCUAGCCGUAAACGAUACUCGCUAGGUGUCGGCCACGGUGCGACCGUUGUCGGUGCCGUAGGGAAGCCGUGAAGCGAGCCACCUGGGAAGUACGG